rnacentral:rRNA from 1 species
AAAAAAUUUGGCGGUAUUUUAGUCUAUUCAGUGGAACCUGUUCUGUAAUUGAUAGUCCACGAUUAAUUGUACUUGUUUUAUAAAUUUAUAUAUCGUCGUAGUUUGAAUAUUUUAAAAGAAAAAUAAUAUUCAAGAUUUAAUAUAAUAAAAUAAAUCAGAUCAAGGUGUAGUUUAUAAAUAAGAAGAAAUGGGUUACAUUUUAUUUAUAAUUGGAUAAAUUUAUGAAAGUGAAUUUUGAAAUUGGAUUUGAAAGUAAUUUUUAAGAUUUAUUUAAAAUGAUUAUAGCUCUAAAAUAUGUACAUAUUGCCCGUCGCUUUCGUUUUUAAAAUGAGAUAAGUCGUAACAAAGUAGAUUUACUGGAAAGUGAAUCUAGAGG